AUUGAACGCUGGCGGCAUGCCUUACACAUGCAAGUCGAACGGUAACGGGCCUUCGGGUGCCGACGAGUGGCGAACGGGUGAGUAAUACAUCGGAACGUGCCCGAUCGUGGGGGAUAACGAGGCGAAAGCUUUGCUAAUACCGCAUACGAUCUACGGAUGAAAGCAGGGGACCGCAAGGCCUUGCGCGGACGGAGCGGCCGAUGGCAGAUUAGGUAGUUGGUGGGAUAAAAGCUUACCAAGCCGACGAUCUGUAGCUGGUCUGAGAGGAUGAUCAGCCACACUGGGACUGAGACACGGCCCAGACUCCUACGGGAGGCAGCAGUGGGGAAUUUUGGACAAUGGGCGUAAGCCUGAUCCAGCCAUGCCGCGUGCAGGAUGAAGGCCUUCGGGUUGUAAACUGCUUUUGUACGGAACGAAAAGCCUUCUUUUAAUACAGGAGGGUCAUGACGGUACCGUAAGAAUAAGCACCGGCUAACUACGUG
rnacentral:rRNA from 1 species